AACGAACGCUGGCGGCAUGCCUAACACAUGCAAGUCGAACGAGACCUUCGGGUCUAGUGGCGCACGGGUGCGUAACGCGUGGGAACCUGCCCUUAGGUUCGGAAUAACUCCCCGAAAGGGGUGCUAAUACCGGAUAAUGUCUUCGGACCAAAGAUUUAUCGCCUUUGGAUGGGCCCGCGUUGGAUUAGCUAGUUGGUAGGGUAAAAGCCUACCAAGGCGACGAUCCAUAGCUGGUCUGAGAGGAUGAUCAGCCACACUGGGACUGAGACACGGCCCAGACUCAUACGGGAGGCAGCAGUGGGGAAUAUUGGACAAUGGGCGAAAGCCUGAUCCAGCAAUGCCGCGUGAGUGAUGAAGGCCUAGGGUUGUAAAGCUCUUUUACCCGGGAUGAUAAUGACAGUACCGGGAGAAUAAGCUCCGGCUAACUCCGUG
rnacentral:rRNA from 1 species